rnacentral:rRNA from 1 species
GGGCCCGCACAAGCGGUGGAGUAUGUGGUUUAAUUCGAUGCAACGCGAAGAACCUUACCAGGGUUUGACAUCCUGCGAAUCUCUUGGAAACAGGAGAGUGCCUUCGGGAACGCAGUGACAGGUGGUGCAUGGCUGUCGUCAGCUCGUGUCGUGAGAUGUUGGGUUAAGUCCCGCAACGAGCGCAACCCACGUCUUUAGUUGCCAGCAUUUAGUUGGGCACUUUAAAAGAACUGCCAGUGAUAAGCUGGAGGAAGGUGGGGAUGACGUCAAGUCCUCAUGGCCCUUAUGUGUUGGGCUACACACGUGCUACAAUGGUACUUACAAUGAGAAGCAAAGAUGCAAGUCCUAGCCAAUCUCUAAAAUGUACCUCAGUUCGGAUUGUACUCUGUAACUCGAGUGCAUGAAGCUGGAAUUGCUAGUAAUCGCGGAU